ACAGUAGACAAGGUCAUCUUCAGGAAAACUAGGAGACCACCUCCCCUGAUUAAAAACAAAAAAAAAACUCCAAGUUUGAUGGGACUCAGACCUGUGCCUGUUUUGGGUAGGGAGGUAUUAGAGAGAGAGGUGAAGGGUAAAUCAGGUCCCUGUCAUUCCAUCAUGGCCACAAGUGAAAGUCAGUUUUGAUCUUUAAAUGGGGGAUGGAGAGGAGCUACCAAGAAAGCAUGGAGCUGGACAGUGAAGCUGUGUGAUUCACAGGAUAUUAAUUUAUGGCCAGUAUGCUACUUUCCAGUGCUACGGUUGCUGCUGAAGGGGCAGCCACCACCACCUUGACACAGUAGUUUGGACCAGAAUUAAUACCUGACUGAAGGUUACAAGACCUAUGAUGUGAUUUAGUAGAGAAAGAUAUUAAGACCCAACAAGAUUUCUCUCUCUGGAGAAUGUGAAACAAGAAACUGAGAAUUUGAAAAUGAAGAUUGUGUCAUGCCAUGAAAAAGAUGGUUAUAAGGCAACAAAAAUUAUGAGCAAGCAAAAAGGUGGAAUAAAAAAUGGAAGUUCAUUGGUACUGAGAGAAGAGCACAAGAGCAAAAAAUGACAUGGGGGAACAUGAGAGAGAUGGAAACAGGAGGAGCAGUCUCCAGUUGCCUCAGUAUCUGAUGGCAGUUCAGCCACAGAAAAUAAUUUUGGAGAUGAGCAGUCCAAGAUUAAUAUGGAGGUUCCACGAAGUUGUCAGAGAUCCAGCUCCUUCCUCAUUCUUAUGCCAUCUCCAGGGUAUAGCUAUCCUCCUCAUGGUCCAAGAAGGCUGAAAGGCUCCAAUCAUCACAUCACGUCCCAGGUGAGGAAAUUAAGGACCAAAUGUGUAAAAUGAUUACCACAAGGUCAUACCUUCUUGCAUAUAGCAACAACGGUGCUGUCCUUUGGAUGAUUUACUGCAAAAUGGAAUCCUUUAAGAAAUGUAGCUGGAAGGAACUCAUACAACUCAACAACUAAAAAAAAUAAACAACCCAACUGAAAAAUGGGCAGAGGACCUGAAGAGACAUUUCUCCAAAGAGGACAUACAA